UCUGAAGAGUGAAGUGCUGGCCAGGACACAGGACAUGGGGCAGCACACUGCAGCACAGGCGGCAGCCUUUAUAAAGCAGGAGUUUCAGCGGGGAUCCGGAGUCUUUCAAUAUCGUAUAGUGAAAUAUGGAAUGGAAGAAACAGGAAGCCUGCCAUCUUCCUGCAGAGCAUGCAACUUUCUUGCCACUUGACCUCCCUACAUCCCUUGCUUUGACACGUACAGUUAAACCAGAUGUCAGAGGGGUCGCAGAAGGAGGCACUAAAGCUUGUCAAAUUGAUAAACUACAAAAGGCCCGACGGAAGUUUCAGAGCAAACAGCACUCCUUUGUCACUCAGUUUACUGAUAGA